CCCUUAGAUGUUCUGGGCCGCACGCGCGCUACACUGACGAAUUCAACGAGUUUAUAACCUUUGCUGGGAGGCACGGGUAAUCUUGUAAACGUUCGUCGUGAUGGGGAUAGAUUAUUGCAAUUGUUAAUCUUCAACGAGGAAUUCCUAGUAAACGCAAGUCAUCAGCUUGCAUUGAUUACGUCCCUGCCCUUUGUACACACCGCCCGUCGCACCUACCGAUUGAAUGGUCCGGUGAAUUCUUCGGACUGCGGCUUUGACUCGAUUUCGGUCGAGGCGUUGCUGCGGGAAGUUGAUUAAACCUUACCAUUUAGAGGAAGGUGAAGUCGUAACA
rnacentral:rRNA from 1 species